rnacentral:rRNA from 1 species
UUGGAGGGCAAGUCUGGUGCCAGCAGCCGCGGUAAUUCCAGCUCCAAUAGCGUAUAUUAAAGUUGUUGCAGUUAAAAAGCUCGUAGUUGAAUUUUAGGCCUGACCGGACGGUCCGUCUCUGGCGAGUACUGUUCUGCUGUCGGGUCUAUCCUUCUGGUGAGCCGGUAUGCCCUUUAUUGGGUGUGUCGGGGAACCAGGACCAUUACCUUGAAAAAAUUAGAGUGUUUAAAGCGGGCUUUUGCUUGAAUAGAUUAGCAUGGAAUAAUAGAAUAGGACGUUGGUUCUAUUUUGUUGGUCUAGGACCACCGUAAUGAUUAAUAGGGAUAGUUGGGGGCAUUAGUAUUCAAUUGUCAGAGGUGAAAUUCUUGGAUUUAUUGAAGACUAACUACUGCGAAAGCAUUUGCCAAGGAUGUUUUCAUUAAUCAAGAACGAAAGUUAGGGGAUCGAAGACGAUCAGAUACCGUCGUAGUCUUAACCAUAAACUAUGCCGACUAGGGAUCGGAUGAUGUUAAUUUUUAAUGACUCAUUCGGCGCCUUACGGGAAAC